UUUCUCUCCCCUCCUCUCUCCGCCCUCGCGCGCGCUCUUUCCUCCUCUCCCAGGGUUCAUUCACGUUAUUAGAGCGAAGGAAGCCGGGGCACGGGUUCCCCAGGAGGACUGAAGGGAAACCGCGUUUCCAGCCGGCUCACUUACCCAACCCAGGACACUCAGCUCCUCUUAGACGGCCCUGGGGACUCUUCCAUAUGUGGAGAGUGUGUGUGUGCGGUGUCCCUCUUUUCCCCGUGUACAUAUCCGUGCCUUUUCCUGAAGAUGAAUGUAUAGGCGUGAGUGUGGGAAGUGGGAGUGUUCAGGUCAGAUUUCCAGAAGCCCCAGAUGUGGGUCACAGCUGGGAGACCUUGCAGGCCAAGCCAGGCCCCGGCCACCCUCCUCCCACACCCAGGUGGCUCUGCGCCCAGCGGCAGCUCCUCCAGAUGCCCCGCAGGGCCUGGGAGCACCCAGACUUUGGGGCUGAGGGAGAAGGGAGAUGUCAGCCCGAGGUCCUUGGGGAGGAACACAGGCUCUGUUUUAUAAGGAAUGGUCAAGCUGUGAUUGAAACUGGGGCUCUCCUCCAUUAUUACGUUUCUGAUGGUUUAUUGCUGCGAGUCCCAAACACCAAUUGUACUAGAUUCAAACCUCCCGGCCCCCGGCUGCUUCCCUCUUUCUCCCAGCUCCCUCUUCAAUACCUUUAUUUCUUUUUGCCUUUCGCUCUACUCGAGCUUAACUGGCUUUCCCUCACCUCCUCCCCUUUAUCGCCAGCCUCUGCCUCCAGCCCUGCUGGCUUCACUUAAUUGCCUUUGCUCCUGGCAUGAUCCCAACCUGGACACACUCCCUCUCCUCGCAGCCAAUCCCGGCUCCUCCUCCUUCAAAACCCAGCUCCAAACUCUUCCUUCCAAGAGGCCCUCAGAGACCGGCACCUGGGUGUCCAGCAUGCCUUCACUUCGUGCCUCCCCAAAGCUCCUGUUGUUGGCCUCCCUGAUGGGCGUGCUGUGUGAUGCAGCACUGGACCCCCGGGAAAGUGAAAGAGAUAUGUGGAGAGCUGCUAUUCUUCUCGCAAGAUGUAGCUUAAAUAUCCCCUCCUUUGUGGCACCUUACCUGGCCCCCACUACCCAGAGGAAAGGAAUUACCCCGUGCUGGAGUUACUGCUGGCUCUCUCACAAGACUGUGAGCCUUUCCCAUAGCUGACGUGUACAAGUGCUUAGGAAAUAUUUGCUGAGUGAGAGGUAUUUCUUGCCCCCUGGAAAAUUAUAGUCUGAUUGGGGGAAAUAGAGCAUACAAAAAGAAGAGGAAAAAAUUCCAGGAUAAUAUAGCCCAAGGACCAGACUGGCUGCAUUAAUCAGCACUUGUGGGCCCCUCCUCCUGCCUCUUGGGUGUCUGUUCUGCUUCCUCAAAGUCUCAAAGGGCAAGAGUCAUCACCUCUAUUUUCCUUUCACCCACCUGCCGCCUGGUCCGGGGUUCUGCACACAGCAGGUGCCCAGUGUGUGCCUGAAGGUGUGCACCAGGCAUGAGAAGGCUUGCUCUGGCUCCAAACAGUGCUGCCCACCUCUGUCCCUAAUAUUCACAAGGAGAAAUUCUGGGUUCUGUCCUCAGAAGCUCUGAAAAAGGUGGAUCUCAAGCUUUUCUUGCUUUUUUCAGGAGUAAAUCUUUGCUUCCAAUUAAUCUUAAACAGAAGCCCGGCGUAAAUAAACCCGGUUUGCUGUCAGUCAGCCCUGUAGAUAAGAGCUGGCAUGGCUCUGGGUGAAUAGGGGGCCCAGAGGACCUGUUCCCACCCACCCGCACGACCCCUGCAGCCCCCAGAGCACCUCUGUGGGUCUAGGGCUCCAUGAAACAUGAUGUGAAAAUGUCAUCCUGAGCCAGCUCCCGGGUCACUUGGGGACAUCCCCUCCACCCUGUCCUGCUUGCAGCCUUCUUCAGGGACUUUGAGGGAAAGAAAUGAAAGCAAGAUGAAUGGUUCUGAUCUGCAGGGAGGGGUGAGGGGGUGGGAAGCGAAUAGCUUCCCUCCAUCUCCUCUUAGGUCAGGCAGAUGACACGUGGCUGGGGGGGGGGGCCCUCCUCCAAGCAAGGAUCCUUACAUUAAUCCCAUGGAGACAGAACAGAAAUCUUCAUUCAUCAGAGCCCUGUUCGACCAGUUCCCACUCCUCCACUCUCAGAGGAGCGUGUGGGAGAGUUGAGAGAGCACUGGAUUAGGAGCCAAGACAGUCGCCAUCUUGUGCUGGCUCCACAACGAACAAGCAGGGUGAUCUCGGAUAAACCACAACCACCCGGGAGAAAGACACGUGUCCAGUCCACCUUUCAGCGUUGUUUUGAGGGACCCUUGCAAGUCCUUUGUGGAAGGAGAGGCAAAUGCUUCCUUUUCUGUCAUUUUUUUGGACGCUGUCUAGGGGUUGUAUGUUACAUUUUCUGGUAAUUCUCACCAUCAUCCCCCCUUACAACACCUGGGGAAUCCGAGAUGCAGAGAAGUCGAGUAACUCGCUCGGGUCUCACACCUGGAAGAUCCCAGCUCAGAUCCGGAUGACUUCAAGGUCAGAGUUUUUCAAGGACACUAAAUGGCCUCUUUGCCCUUCUCAAGUACCGCUUGACUGUGGUGUUAUUCUUACCUGUUAAUUCAGGCACAGGGACCCCAGUGGGGGCUAGCGGUGUGCCUUUCUGUCUGUGGACACCCAACUGACGACCGUGCGUAGUCCUGAGAUUGUGAGGGUGUAGACUGUGGAGUCAAAUAAGGACUUGACCGCCAGAGAAGGGAGCUGGAGCAAACUCAAGACUGUCUGAGACCAUUCAUCAUGCCUGGGUGAGCACAAUUUAAAUCUGGAAAUUUCUGCUCAGCUGGAUUAGAGAACUCUAAAUGGCAGUAUUUAACUGCUGCCUGAGGUCCCUGGAGUUUCUCCCAUGUGACAUUUCCAGAGCUGAGGGAGGGAGACGUCCUUUGCUUGCUCAGGAGGAGGCUCUGGAUUGGUCUUGUUCUGGAGAGGCUGGAUGCUUGGCAUCUUCCCCCCAGGAGCCACUCGGUAUAAGUUUUACUAUAGGCAGAGGGGACAAGUCAUCAUACAUACCAUUGCCUUCUGGAAAGCUGAGAAUGUGGACGUGCGUAGACCAGUCCUCCAAAGUGGUUUCUUUCCCCCUCACCAGCUCAUUUGGGUAAUUACCACAAUUCUUCACUUUACUUUGGCUGUGAAGACAGAGCUUUAAUGAACUCAGAACCCACCCAACCCCAACUCCAGGUUGAAGCAGCCGGGUGCUGGCUGUGGGAGAGGAAUACCAUAUCAGGCUGCUCAUGCUGCGUAACAUGCAUGUCAAAGCUGCUGGGGAGGUUGCAUUUGCAGCCGCAGGGAGAAGGAAGGGAGAGGCCCUCCACCGGCUAGGGGAACACGGUCGCUUUCUGCGGCGGCUCCCAAAGCCUUUAUUAAAAGCUUUGUUUUCCUCUCUUUGUCCUCUGGAAAUAAUGACCUCUGUGUGGCAACUUUUUGUAAUAUCUCAUUUCCAUGCCCCAAGCAGAUGGUUCUGCUGAUUUCAGAAGGCUUUAAUAGGGGGAUUUGGGGAGCCUGGGAGAUAUCUCGGGUGAAUAGACAUAAAGAAUGAUUUUGAGUUUCUAUAGCAAAGGGUUGGGGAUGAGUCUUAGAAGGUUCCGGGGCUUGGCUCAGUGUGGAGGCUUAUCUGCAAGCUCCUCGGAAUCCAGGAAGAAUGCCUCCAGAUCCUGACACCGACAGCCUCCCCUCCAUCAGAUCAUGCACACUGUGAUCGGGGCUGGAUAUGCAGCGUUCCUUUUCAGCUCUGCCACAAUAGAGCGGUGGCACCCUCACUGUCUCCAUGCCAGGCCAGCCCCUGGCAGUGCGGAGGGAAGGGAAGCAGCAUCUAAUGAGUGCCCUCUGCCUGCCAGUCAUUCUGUGAGCAUCCUUUCACUUCAUCAUGACAACAGUUGUAUGAGGUGGGUGCCUUUACACCCAUUUUGUAGAAGAUGAACCUGCAGCUAAACAGAAUAAAUGACCGAGCUGGGAUUUGAACCCAGCUCUGCCUGGAGCACAGCCAGGCCCUGUCAGCUACUACCCUGCACCCCAUGCCCCAGAGGGUACGAAGGUUCAAAGGCCCUCUGCUGACAUCUGCUUCCUUCCCGGCUCCUUCUUCAUGUGUGCAUCCAGAUGAGAUCAGGUUCAAAUGACUGUCAGAGUGGGGGGUGGGGGAGGGGAGCGGCAGGGGUGGCAAAGGGGAGAGGUCAGGAAAGGGUUGUCCCCUGCAGCCCAGGAGGGUAGAGCAGGCUCCACCUUUCCUGGGAAAGUAGGAGUGAGCUGGGCUGAUGGCAGGCGCUGGAAGCCACUGGCCUUAGGAGCCCACCCUUCUCCUCUCCCUCCUGGCUCCCACUCACAGCUCCUGUCUUGGUUCUGGCCAGAGUGGAGGCCAGAGGGCCAGCCCUUGAUUCCCGGCCUGGUAGCAUCUUUGAGACAGCUCUGGCCUCCGGCUGGCCCCCUCUCCUGGGCGUUUUCUGUUCAUUGUCGUAGGAGGAAAACGCAGCGCCCUGCUGUCAGUGUUAAACAGCAAACAAAACAGUGAACUGGGAGUGAAGUCCGUGUGGGCUUGUUCCAGACCUGCAUGUUUUCAAACGAGAUCCCAUUAGGGGCUGCGCUCGGUCGCCGUGCUGGGCCGUCUCCCCCGCUAGAAUCUGUUCCAGAACCAGCCCCAGUGAUGAGCACAUUGAUAUUAACGGCCUGCCUUGGCCAAAGCUUCCGGCCCAGCACGCUGGAUAGUUAGGCGGUUAUUCUGAGAACAUCCUUUUUAAAACACUCGACAGGACAAACAGGCCGAGAGGCUCCUUUGUCCACAGCCGGCCUCUGAAACCGAGCCGCCCCUCAGAGGGUUGAGAUCACACUCCAAGGAAGAAACCGGCGGCCCAGGAGGCGGAAACGUCUGAAAAUGGGGGUGGGGAAGAUGGUCAAUGAUGGCUCAUUCUGCAACUAACGGGUAUCACUUGCGCUUUGACCAAAGCAGAGCUUUUAAUUCCUAAAAUAUAACAGCCUGGUGCAGGAGCUCGAAGAAAAGGCAGCCUUCCAUGCGGAACUUUGCUGCAAAGUGCCCGGCUGCCGAAUGAAAGGUUUGGUUCCAGGAGGAUAUAGCCAGAUUCGCCUUCUGAACCGCACCUCCCUUUUCAUCUCCUGCUUCCCAUGGCUCUCGGCUGCUGGCUGCCUGCCGGGGGAAGGGGCCGAGGCUCCUGGCGGCCCUCUUGGAGCUGUGCUUGCUCCUGGGUGGGAGGGCUUGCUUUGCCCUGCAGAUGUCUUUCUGAAUCAUGGAUAUCAAUUGAAUAUCCGCGCUCUGCCUCCUCUAUUAUAUUCCCGUUUGCCUUGUUAUUGAAGAGCCACUGAGUCUUCACUGCUUUUCUUUCCAAGGCCUUUUCGUAAGGUGGAAAGGGAAGGUCAUUAGAUUCAGGUUGACCCAGGUUUCUAGUCCUGCUCUGCCGUUUGCAGCUGUGUGGCUUUGGACUAGUGACUGCACCUCUCUGGGCCCUGGUAAAAUGGGGAACCAAGCACCUGCCUCGUGGGGUUGUUUUGCAAAUUCAAGAAGCUCAGGCAACGCAUCGGCACAACAAUGCUAGUAGCUGAUGUCUGCUGAGCCCUUCACCAUCACCAGGCUCCGUUCUAAAUGCUUUACCGUGUAUCACUUGUUUGGUUUUCCCCAAACUCGUUGAGACAGGUGCUAUUGUUGGUCUCAUUUUACCAAAGAGGCAGUGAAGGCACAAAGAAGGCAAAUCACUCGUUAAGGGUUGUGGCAGAGGGAGCCUGAUUUUGAACCUCUGCAGUCGGGUUCCAGAACCCCAGCUUAUAAUUUUGAUUUAAAUAUGUACUAAAUAAACGGUAGCUUUUAUUUUCUUGCUUGUUAAUAUUUCCUAGCAAUUAAGUUUACGGUACUCAGUAUCCUCAUCUGCCAACAGUCACUGGCUUCACCAGACUCAAGCUCCCUCUAUGUGCAGCUAGAACGUCGCUCAUCGACUCAUCCAGUCCAGAAAUGUUGGAUUUUCCUCGGUGGGGCCCUCUCUGUUGGUUCGCUUUGUCCUCUGGGAACCUGUGAAUGUGGAUCUUGUGGAUGACAAAGACGUUAUUAAAAUCAUCGCUGUAUGUU